AUUUAUGUCAAUAAGUAUAAAGAUACUUUGUGCUUUACAAAGAAUAAGGUAAAGUAUGAAGUUACAUUUGAAAAAAUCCAAGUGCAGCGUAAAAGCAACCUUUAACUCUUGUUUGUCAACCAUACAGAGAUGGAUGAAGACGCUGAGCUGGAGACUGCAAUGCUGAACAUCACCCCCUCUAAGCUACUGGUGCAGUCGCCAGCAUCAUCUGCGUGCUCAGCUGCUGAAGUGAAACACUCCACAGAAACAACGACAGUGUGUUGGCCGUGUGUCACUAACAAAUCUGUGUGCUGUUGGCAUUAUACUAACUGUUCAAGGGGCUAUGAAUUGAUUCCCCCACCACGAUGAACUGAUAAACCCCCAUUCUGG